UAUUAAGAUGAGAGAAAGCAUGUAUGCCAAUGUAGCUAAAGAAAAGUUUAAAGCACUUAAAUGAAAGUAAUAAAUUAAUUUCAAAGAGUAGAGAACAAUAUCAAGCCUUCAUAAGUGUAAAAUGGUGUAAAAUAAGUGUAUUUAUAGCUCAAAAUCAUUGUAAACAGUUGGAUUACUUAUUAGAACAUUAUAGACACAUUUUUCUAGAUUUAACAACUAUAUUUAGAGAAAUAAAUUAACAAAAACAAGAAAAAGAAAAGAAAGAAGAGGGAGAGGGAA
rnacentral:misc_RNA from 1 species